UACGUAGGGGGCAAGCGUUUGUCCGGAAUCAUUGGGCGUAAAGCGCGUGUAGGCGGCCCGGUAAGUCCGCUGUGAAAGUCGGGGGCUCAACCCUCGAAUGCCGGUGGAUACUGUCGGGCUAGAGUGCGGAAGAGGCGAGUGGAAUUCCUGGUGUAGCGGUGAAAUGCGUAGAUAUCGGAAGGAACAUCAGUGGCGAAAGCGACUUCCUGGACCAAUACUGACGCUCAUGUGCGAAAGCGUGGGGGAGCAAACAGG
rnacentral:rRNA from 1 species